CCCCCGCCUUCCGGGACCCGAGCACUUCCUCUUUGUACGCCCGAAGCGAGGACGUACUUCCGGCGCGCGGGCCACGGCGUGCGCACGCGUGCUGCUCUCCUGGCCCGGCAGAUUCCGCCACCGAAGCUUCUCAGUACGGUGCUUCGAAGUCAGACGUCAAAUCGGGGACCGAAAAUAGUAGUGUGGGCGGGAGGGCAGAGGGACAGAGGCGGAGGGGAGGCACAGCUCCCCACCCUACCUUGCCGGGGCUACGGAGAAGGCCGGCCACGCCUCCGCCUCCUCGUGACGUCACUCCCGCGCCGCUGUUGGUGUGUCCCGUCUGCUUCGCACGCUCUUUGCAGUCUUACGGGUUGUCCUUUCGACCCCUCUCCAGCCACUCCUCCCGGGGGUCCAGCGGCCCGGGGGCCCAAUUCGCGUCCCGAAAGCUGGAGAGCCGCGGACGCAGAGGGGCGUGUGUGCAGCCCCGGGCGGGCUCCGGAAGGGCAGGCUACGCGUGGCUGAGGAGGCGAGGGCAGAGCACCGCUGUUUGCGGAGCCUCGCAGCGCGGCGCAGACUUGCCAUCAGCGCUAUCCGGGGUCUGCGGCAAGCGGCAUGCUGGGGAAGACGUGUUGCUCCCGGUCGGCACAUUGACCAGCCUCCGGAUUCCUUGCAGGAGGGGACAAUAUCGCUGAACAAUUAAUGCACCAAAUAAAGCGAAUCAAUUAAUGUGCGACUGUUAGUGAAUUGGAUUUGUGUUGCGCGCUGCUUCUGGCAUCUUUUUUCGUGGAGGUGCCCCCUGUGCGUCUCGACCUAAUGUGGUAUAAUAUGUGGUCCUCUCUCUCUUUAAACUGUGACCUCUUUGUAGGCAGUGACAGAGUCCUCUCUUGUCUUCAGAUCCUAGCACUUACCAAGAGCUUAGUAGGUGUUUGUGUAGGCCACACACCGGGUCAUGGGAUUAAUUAGAUAUUGUGCAAAGAAUUGAAACUGUAUUGACAGCAACAGAGCUAACCAGUGAAUAGUUUAAUAUGAAAUAUGAGCAAAAACGAGGGAAAGACCGUUUUCAUCUUGGGGGACAGAGAGAACAGAAAUGCCAUGUCCUCAAGCAGGAGGAACUCACUUGAAUAGGAUAAUAGCAGUACUUCGAUUUACAGGUUGUAUUUGAUGUGCUUGUGAGACAUCUUGGUGAUAAUAUCAGAAGGUUGAAAAUGUGGGUUCGUUGUUCACUUUGGGGACGGUCAGGGCUAGACAUUUAGAUCUAGUCAGCACAUUAGUGAGCUGCCUGGUACUUGUAGUCAUGGGCACGAUAAUUAGCCAAGAGGCGAAAGACUGGAGGAGUUGCCAGAAAUUUCAUAGAGGAUACAGGAUUGAUCUGUGGUAUGAAGAGAUCUUUAGCACACUUAAGGACUGGGAAAG
rnacentral:lncRNA from 1 species